rnacentral:pre_miRNA from 1 species
UUGUGUCUAAGGAGAUGGCAGUGUGAAGACUAGUUCGCUGUAUUUGUGGGAACGCUAGGUUUUUUGCUUCACAUAAAAUCACCUUAUAUGUGAAGGAAAAAACCUAGUGUUUACACGAACACAGCAAACUAGUUUGCACACUGCCAUCUCCUUAGACGCGGU